rnacentral:rRNA from 1 species
UACGUAGGGUGCAAGCGUUAUCCGGAAUUAUUGGGCGUAAAGAGCUCGUAGGCGGUUUGUCGCGUCUGCUGUGAAAACUGGGGGCUCAACCCCCAGCCUGCAGUGGGUACGGGCAGACUAGAGUGCGGUAGGGGAGAUUGGAAUUCCUGGUGUAGCGGUGAAAUGCGCAGAUAUCAGGAGGAACACCGGUGGCGAAGGCGGGUCUCUGGGCCGAAACUGACGCUGAGGAGCGAAAGCGUGGGGAGCGAACAGG